UUGAAAGAAGCCCCCCCACACACACACACACAAAGGAGUGGCACUAGUAAGAGGUGAGGCUUUAUUGGAGUAGGAAUGGCUUGUUGGAAGGAAUUGUGUCACUGUGGGGCAGACUUUGGGUCUCAAGGUUCCCUCAGUGAGUUGACUUCCUGUUCCCUGCAAGAUGUAGGACUCUCAGCUGCUCCUCUGCCUGCAUGCCGCCAUGUUCCCCUCAUGAUGAUAAUGGAGUGAACCUCUGAAGCUGUUACCCUGCUCGGACACCCCUUGGGAGAGGGGGUGAGAAGAUGCAGCACCAAAGACCCAGGCACUGACAAUCAGAUAAAACUCCCCGAAUUACAUCUGGACACACAAACAACAGGGCAGAAGAAGCUUCCCCAGCCCCCCUUGCACAUCAUCGUCAUGUGACAAGGUUCUGGCCAAUAGGAUAUGACUGGAAAGUUUGUAGCCAAGUUGUGGACACUCUCUGCUGUCUGGCUUCCUCCUUCUGGGUGGCAUGAAGGUCUGGUGGUGUGAUCUAAGGAAGUCCUUGUUGCUUGAGGGGACCAAGUGGUUCUCCAGCUGUCAGCCUC
rnacentral:lncRNA from 1 species